CACUAACCCCAGGGUUGAACCAUGCUGGAAAAGCAGUUCCAAUCCACUAUUGUUCUAACCAAGUUUUACCUUGAGUUUGUAAAGAGAUUCAAUCAUGUUAUUGAACAUGACUUUGAUAAACCAUUU